UCCGAAGGGGGCUAGCGUUGUUCGGAAUUACUGGGCGUAAAGCGCGCGCAGGCGGCUAUCCAAGUCAGUGGUGAAAGCCCGGAGCUCAACUCCGGAACUGCCAUUGAAACUGUUUAGCUUGAGGAUGAGAGAGGUGAGUGGAAUUCCCAGUGUAGAGGUGAAAUUCGUAGAUAUUGGGAAGAACACCGGUGGCGAAGGCGGCUCACUGGCUCAUUACUGACGCUCAGGCGCGAUAGCGUGGGGAUCAAACAGG
rnacentral:rRNA from 1 species